GACGGAGGGUGCAAGCGUUGUUCGGAAUCACUGGGCGUAAAGCGCGUGUAGGCGGCUUGACAAGUCGAAUGUGAAAGCCCGGGGCUCAACCCCGGAAGUGCAUUCGAAACUGUCAGGCUUGAGUACGGGAGAGGGAAGUGGAAUUCCUGGUGUAGAGGUGAAAUUCGUAGAUAUCAGGAGGAACACCGGUGGCGAAGGCGGCUUCCUGGACCGAUACUGACGCUGAGACGCGAAAGCGUGGGGAGCAAACAGG
rnacentral:rRNA from 1 species